rnacentral:rRNA from 1 species
GUUAGGAAUAUUGGACAAUGGGCGAAAGCCUGAUCCAGCCAUGCCGCGUGAACGAUGAAGGCCUUCGGGUUGUAAAGUUCUUUAGCCGAUGAUUAUAAUGACUGUAGUCGGAAAAUAAGCCCCGGCUAACUUCGUGCCAGCAGCCGCGGUAAUACGAAGGGGGCGAGCGUUAUUCGGAAUCACUGGGCGUAAAGCGUGCGUAGGCGGUUUUGUAAGUUAGGAGUGAAAGCCCAGGGCACAACCUUGGAAUUGCUCUUAAAACUGCAAGGCUCGAAUCUCGGAGAGGAUAGCGGAAUUUCCAGUGUAGCAGUGAAAGGCGUAGAUAUUGGAAGGAACACCAGUGGCGUAAGCGGCUAUCUGGACGAGUAUUGACGCUGAGGCACGAAAGCGUGGGGAUCAAACAGGAUUAGAAACCCCAGUAGUCC